GUUUACAUGUAUAAACUACUAUAUACUGACUGUUGAGAAAAUUGUGACUCUAUUUUUAUGACCGUUAUGACCAUAUGGAAACCAGGCUUUAAUCAUAGUAUUAACCCAUUAAGCGCCAGCGCUCUCCCCUUGACGAGUAAAAUCGUCUGGCGUUAGACAGAGUAAAAUACUAAAGUAGGGUGCAUCAGGGUGCAAUGCGACUCAAUGGGUUAACUAGACACAUGGGCAGAUAAGCCAGUUAACCCAUUAAGCGCCAGCGCUCUCCCCUUGACGAGUAAAAUCGUCUGGCGUUAGACAGAG